rnacentral:rRNA from 1 species
AACGAACGCUGGCGGCAUGCCUAACACAUGCAAGUCGAACGAUCCCUUCGGGGAUAGUUGCGCACGGGUGCGUAACGCGUGGGAACCUGCCCUUAGGUUCGGGAUAACUCAUAUAAAUUUGAGCUAAUACCGGAUAAUUUCUUCGGACCAAAGAUUUAUCGCCUUUGGAUGGGCCCGCGUUGGAUUAGCUAGUUGGUGGGGUAAAGGCCUACCAAGGCGUCGAUCCAUAGCUGGUCUGAGAGGAUGAUCAGCCACACUGGGACUGAGACACGGCCCAGACUCCUACGGGAAGCAGCAGUGGGGAAUAUUGGACAAUGGGCGAAAGCCUGAUCCAGCAAUGCCGCGUGAGUGAUGAAGGCCUUAGGGUUGUAAAGCUCUUUUACCCGGGAUGAUAAUGGCAGUACCGGGAGAAUAAGCCCCGGCUAACUCCGUG